rnacentral:lncRNA from 1 species
AAAUAAACACCAUUGCUAUUCCAUCAGAUAACAUCUCUGUUCAAAUCAAAACAGGUACUUCCUACAUGAGAGAAUACAUCCAGAACAUAUAACUACACCAUCCGUCGGAACCAAAUCCCGUAACUGCGCUGAGCAGGUUGCACAUGAACAAGAGACAGGAGUCUACACAGGCGGGGCCUAGCUAUAACCUAGGAGGAGGUGAACUUGGUGACGGCCUUGGUGCCCUCGGAGACGGCGUGCUUGGCGAGCUCCCCGGGGAGGACGAGGCGGACCGAGGUCUGGAUCUCGCGGGAGGUGAUGGUGGGCUUCUUGUUGUACCGCGCGAGCUUGGCCGCCUCCGCCGCCAGCUUCUCGAAGAUGUCGUUGAUGAAGGAGUUCAUGAUGGACAUGGCCUUGGAGGAGAUGCCGAUGUCGGGGUGCACCUGCUUCAGCACCUUGAAGAUGUAGAUCUUGUAGGUCUCCACGCUCUUCUUCGCCUUCUUCUUGCCCUUCUUCUCGCCGUCC